CUGUGAAUAGUCUCUCUGCUCUGAUUUUGCAUUAAUCAGGGCAGGCUAAACAUUUUUGAUAUGAACUUACAUGUGCUCCUGAGCCUAGUAUAUUACCUACCUAUAUCUUGUCUUAUAAUUGCUUAUAACU